GGUAAGCUCCACUUUCCCCUUCCUCUCACCAUUGACAUUAUCGACUCUCUCAUCUUACCAUUUCCUUCACGCCUCUGCAUGCAUGUACCCUACCAAUAUUCACUUCCACUCGAUUGCUGGUCACAACCGAUAAACUAGUCGAUUUUGGUUGUUGGGUUUCUUGAUAAACUCUGAAAUUAUCCACCCCUUUUCUCAAAUUUCGCUAUCUUUGCCUACUGGGUUGUUUGUUCCCUUUAAAUUAUGGCUUCCGCAAUGCUCAAUGGAGCUGAAUGCCUCAAGCUCACCAGAGGAUUGGGUUUUUC
rnacentral:misc_RNA from 1 species